rnacentral:rRNA from 1 species
AAUUUUUGACAAUGGGGGAAACCCUGAUCCAGCCAGCCCGCGUGUAUGAGGAAGGCCUUCGGUUUGUAAAGUACUUUUGGCAGUGACGAAAAGGUACCUCCUAAUACGAGGUACUGCUGACGGUAUCUGCAGAAUAAGCACCGGCUAUCUACGUGCCAGCAGCCGCGGUAACACGUAGAGUGCAAGCGUUAAUCGGAAUGACUGGUCGUAAAGCGUGUGUAGGCGGUUCGGAAAGAAAGAUGUGAAAUCCCAGGGCUCAACCUUUGAACUGCAUUUUUAACUGCCGAGCUAGAGUAUGUCAGAGGGGGGUAGAUUUCCACGUGUAGCAGUGAAAUGCGUAGAUAUGUGGAGGAAUACAGAUGGCGAAGGCAGCCCCCUGGGAUAAUACUGACGCUCAGACACGAAAGCGUGGGGAGCAAACA